rnacentral:rRNA from 1 species
UAGUUGGCGGGGCAACGGCCCACCAAGCCCACGAUAUCUAGGGGUUCUGAGAGGAAGGUCCCCCACAUUGGUACUGAGACACGGACCAAACUCCUACGGGAGGCAGCAGUGAGGAAUAUUGGUCAAUGGACGAGAGUCUGAACCAGCCAAGUCGCGUGAAGGAAAACGGAUCUAUGGUUUGUAAACUUCUUUAGUGCGGGAACAAAGCGGCGUCGAGACGCCUGAUGAGUGUACCGCAAGAAUAAGCAUCGGCUAACUCCGUGCCAGCAGCCGCGGUAAUACGGAGGAUGCGAGCGUUAUCCGGAUUUAUUGGGUUUAAAGGGAGCGCAGGCUGCGAGGCAAGUCAGCGGUCAAAUGUCGGGGCUCAACCCCGGCCUGCCGUUGAAACUGUCCUGCUAGAGUUCGAGUGAGGUAUGCGGAAUGCGUUGUGUAGCGGUGAAAUGCAUAGAUAUGACGCAGAACUCCGAUUGCGAAGGCAGCAUACCAACUCGCGACUGACGCUGAGGCUCGAAAGCGUGGGUAUCGAACAGGAUUAGAUACCCUGGUAGUCCACGCAGUAAACGAUGAAGACUAACUGUUCGGAGGGCGACCUCUGAGUGG